UGGGGAAUUUUGGACAAUGGGCGAAAGCCUGAUCCAGCCAUGCCGCGUGAGUGAAGAAGGCCUUCGGGUUGUAAAGCUCUUUUAGUCGGAAAGAAAGAGUUGCAAUGAAUAAUUGUGAUUUAUGACGGUACCGACAGAAAAAGCACCGGCUAACUACGUGCCAGCAGCCGCGGUAAUACGUAGGGUGCGAGCGUUAAUCGGAAUUACUGGGCGUAAAGGGUGCGCAGGCGGUCUUGCAAGUCAGAUGUGAAAGCCCCGGGUUUAACCUGGGAAUUGCGUUUGAAACUACAAGGCUAGAGUGCAGCAGAGGGGAGUGGAAUUCCAUGUGUAGCAGUGAAAUGCGUAGAGAUGUGGAAGAACACCGAUGGCGAAGGCAGCUCCCUGGGUUGACACUGACGCUCAUGCACGAAAGCGUGGGGAGCAAACA
rnacentral:rRNA from 1 species